UACGUAGGGUGCAAGCGUUAAUCGGAAUUACUGGGCGUAAAGCGUGCGCAGGCGGUUAUGUAGGACAGAUGUGAAAUGCCCGGGCUUAACCUGGGAACUGCAUUUGUGACUGCAUGGCUAGAGUUUGGCAGAGGGGGGUAGAAUUCCACGUGUAGCAGUGAAAUGCGUAGAUAUGUGGAGGAACACCGAUGGCGAAGGCAGCCCCCUGGGCUGAGAUUGACGCUCAGGCACGAAAGCGUGGGGAGCAAACAGG
rnacentral:rRNA from 1 species